UAUAAAAUCAGGCCUGGCAGACUGAAGCAAGAAGAUCAUAAUUUGAAUACAAUCAUGUAGAUGCUGUCUUGAGUCCUCAUCCUCUGGAAGAACAGCAUGUGUUCUUCUGCACUGAGCAUCCUUACAACCCAUCUAACAUUUCCCUCAGUGAUGUCUGAUCCAUGAUAGAGGUUUACAGUGCCAAGAUUUCAUAAACAUGUUCUGCCUUUACUUUCAACUUGUCUUUGCUUGUAUGUUUAAGGAGAAAUACUUUUUGACAGAAUAUUAUUGAGUUUUGCUUUGUUAAAGUCAAAUAUUUCUUUUUUGAUCAUACCCAUUGAGUAAAGCUUAUCUUAAGAAAUUCCUUUUUCUUGCAACUCAUGUGUUGUCUAUUUUCUUUGAGAAGAAGACAGCAAGACAUGAUUAAACAUAGAAAAGGGUGGAGCAAUGGAAGGCAUCCUACAGGAGUGAGGGAACCAUCUGAUGCCUAGGUCUUACUGCUGUGAAUGUCAAGGAAAUUGAUUAUAGGAAUGGUAAUCUGAACUUUUUCUAUAAGUGUUUAAGUCAAGCACAUAGAAUGUUUUAAAAUCAAUUUACCCAUCAGAUAGGAUAAGUAUUCCAGCUACAAUCAGUACUAGUUGUUAGCACUACACAUCAAGUAUGACACAGAUAGAAACACAGAUUCAGAAAAUAAACUUGGCGUUUCGCAUCUUGAAUACUUUUUGCAAUAGUAAUCUGUUAGGGGUUGGUCUGGUACUGUGUAUACAAAUGGUAAAUUCCGGUCCCCAACACCUGGUUGUUUGCAGAGAAGUGAAUGCUCAUGUGCACCAGUCUUUGUUGUGCAAACCUUACUCUGUAUGCAAUUUAAAGAUAUUGGCUAACUAAAAGUGGCUAUAGACAAUCACUGAGAAUAAAGGUACAUGGGACUUUUAUUACAAGACUCACCAUCGCAAGUACAGACCACAAGAAGAAGGAGAGAAGAGAGAAGGAGGGAGAAGGAGAAAGGAGUCAAAGAAAACUUGAGGUCUUCACUAGACACAAUACACCAGAAGCUCAUGGCCAACUAAUUGCCCCCUGAGGACAUUCUAAUGGAGCAGAAAUAACCUGGGUGAGACUCAAACAGCAAGUAUUUGGGAGCACAGUUGGGGAGUUAACAAUCUUCUGUAUAAAAAAAUAUAUUAGGUGUAAUAUGCCCAGUAAUGGGGUUAAAGCUGAUUUAAAAAAAAAUCCAUAAGAUGCUGUCUCUAUUAUUGGAAGUCUGCCUGGGUUAUACUAAUAACUAACAAAGUUAUUAAAUUACAUUAAAAUAUCAUUUACCACACCUGAGUGGCAUGUAUCAUGUCCUGACAUUUGGGCCUUCCACAGGAACCUACUCUUUACCACAUGUGUUCAGAGAAGCCCCUCUUCUAAUAUUCUCAUGGCCUUUAAUAUAUGAAGGCACACUUUGGAAGUAGUCAGUUGAUUGAAAAUAUUCUCCUUUAGAAUUUCAUCUAUAGUAUUUGUUAUUCAAAUGUAUCAUUAUAAUUAUUAUUUUAAAAAUAUUAAAAAGAAUGAAUUUAUGAAAUUCCUAGGAAAAUGGAUGGACCUGGAGGGCAUCAUCCUGAGUGAGGUAACCCAAUCACAAAGGAACUCACACAAUAUGUACUCACUGAUAAGUGGAUAUUAGCCCAGAAACUUAGGAUACCCAAGAUAUAAGAUACAAUUUGCUAAAUGCAUGAAACUCAAGAAGAGCGAAGACCAAAGUGUGGACACUUUGCCCCUUAGAAUUGGGAACAAAACACCCAUGGAAGGAGUUACAGAGACAGAAUUUAGAGCUGUGACAAAAGGAUGGACCAUCUAGUGAUUGCCAUAUCCAGGGAUCCAUUCCAUAAUCAGCU
rnacentral:lncRNA from 1 species